UACGUAGGGUGCAAGCGUUAAUCGGAAUUACUGGGCGUAAAGCGUGCGCAGGCGGUGGAUGUAGAACAGAUGUGAAAUCCCCGGGCUCAACCUGGGAACUGCAUUUGUGACUGCAUCGCUAGAGUACGGCAGAGGGGGAUGGAAUUCCGCGUGUAGCAGUGAAAUGCGUAGAUAUGCGGAGGAACACCGAUGGCGAAGGCAAUCCCCUGGGCCUGUACUGACGCUCAUGCACGAAAGCGUGGGAGCAACAGG
rnacentral:rRNA from 1 species